rnacentral:rRNA from 1 species
AGCGUUGCUCGGAAUCACUGGGCGUAAAGGGUGCGUAGGCGGGUCUUUAAGUCAGGGGUGAAAUCCUGGAGCUCAACUCCAGAACUGCCUUUGAUACUGAGGAUCUUGAGUACGGGAGAGGUGAGUGGAACUGCGAGUGUAGAGGUGAAAUUCGUAGAUAUUCGCAAGAACACCAGUGGCGAAGGCGGCUCACUGGCCCGUAACUGACGCUGAGGCACGAAAGCGUGGGGAGCAAACAGG